GAGUUUGAUCCUGGCUCAGGAUGAACGCUGGCGGCGUGUUUAACACAUGCAAGUCGAGCGGACUGAAGACUUCGGUCUGAUGUUAGCGGCGGACGGGUGAGUAACGCGUGGAUGACCUGCCUACUACCGUGGGAUAACAGUGAGACAUGACUGCUAAUACCGCAUAAGACCACACUAUCACAUGGUAGAGAGGUAAAAGGAGCAAUCCGGUAUGGGAUGGGCCCGCGUCUGAUUAGCUAGUUGGAGAGGUAAUGGCUCACCAAGGCGACGAUCAGUAGCCGACCUGAGAGGGUGAUCGGCCACAUUGGGACUGAGACAC
rnacentral:rRNA from 1 species